rnacentral:rRNA from 1 species
UGGGGAAUAUUGCACAAUGGGCGCAAGCCUGAUGCAGCCAUGCCGCGUGUGUGAAGAAGGCCUUCGGGUUGUAAAGCACUUUCAGCGAGGAGGAAGGUGGUGAACUUAAUACGUUCAUCAAUUGACGUUACUCGCAGAAGAAGCACCGGCUAACUCCGUGCCAGCAGCCGCGGUAAUACGGAGGGUGCAAGCGUUAAUCGGAAUUACUGGGCGUAAAGCGCACGCAGGCGGUUUGUUAAGUCAGAUGUGAAAUCCCCGGGCUCAACCUGGGAACUGCAUUUGAAACUGGCAAGCUAGAGUCUCGUAGAGGGGGGUAGAAUUCCAGGUGUAGCGGUGAAAUGCGUAGAGAUCUGGAGGAAUACCGGUGGCGAAGGCGGCCCCCUGGACGAAGACUGACGCUCAGGUGCGAAAGCGUGGGGCAGCAAACAGGAUUAGAUACCCUGGUAGUCCACGCUGUAAACGAUGUCGAUUUGGAGGUUGUGCCCUUGAGGCGUGGCUUCCGGAGCUAACGCGUUAAAUCGACCGCCUGGGGGAGUACGGCC